rnacentral:rRNA from 1 species
UACGUAGGUGGCGAGAGUUAUCCGGCAUUACUGGGUGUAAAGAGCGUGUAGGCGGAAGUGUAAGUCAGAUGUGAAAUACUAGGGCUUAACCCUAGGGCUGCAUCUGAAACUAUAUUUCUUGAGUACUGGAGAGGAAAGUGGAAUUUCUAGUGUAGCGGUGAAAUGCGUAGAUAUUAGGAGGAACACCAGUGGCGAAGGCGGCUUUCUGGACAGUAACUUAAGCUGAGGCGCGAAUGCGUGGGGAGCAAACAGG